rnacentral:rRNA from 1 species
AGACCCGAAACCCGGUGAUCUAGCCAUGGGCAGGUUGAAGGUUGGGUAACACUAACUGGAGGACCGAACCGACUAAUGUUGAAAAAUUAGCGGAUGACCUGUGGCUGGGGGUGAAAGGCCAAUCAAACCGGGAGAUAGCUGGUUCUCCCCGAAAGCUAUUUAGGUAGCGCCUCGUGAAUUCAUCUCCGGGGGUAGAGCACUGUUUCGGCUAGGGGGCCAUCCCGGCUUACCAACCCGAUGCAAACUGCGAAUACCGGAGAAUGUUAUCACGGGAGACACACGGCGGGUGCUAACGUCCGUCGUGAAGAGGGAAACAACCCAGACCGCCAGCUAAGGUCCCAAAGUCAUGGUUAAGUGGGAAACGAUGUGGGAAGGCCCAGACAGCCAGGAUGUUGGCUUAGAAGCAGCCAUCAUUUAAAGAAAGCGUAAUAGCUCACUGGUCGAGUCGGCCUGCGCGGAAGAUGUAACGGGGCUAAACCAUGCACCGAAGCUGCGGCAGCGAACGUAUCACUUAAAGCGAUUCAGCGGGUUACGAUUGACGGAGCGAAGCGACGUCAAAGCGUAUACAAAGUCGAGUCGGUUUAAGGAUACGUUCGUUGGGUAGGGGAGCGUUCUGUAAGCCUGUGAAGGUGGCCUGUGAGGGUUGCUGGAGGUAUCAGAAG